rnacentral:rRNA from 1 species
UACGUAGGGUCCGAGCGUUGUCCGGAAUUACUGGGCGUAAAGAGCUCGUAGGUGGUUUGUCGCGUUGUUCGUGAAAACUCACAGCUUAACUGUGGGCGUGCGGGCGAUACGGGCAGACUUGAGUACUGCAGGGGAGACUGGAAUUCCUGGUGUAGCGGUGGAAUGCGCAGAUAUCAGGAGGAACACCGGUGGCGAAGGCGGGUCUCUGGGCAGUAACUGACACUGAGGCGCGACAGCGUGGGGAGCAAACAGG